rnacentral:rRNA from 1 species
CAGUCGUACCUUCGGGUAAUCAGCCUUUCGGGUGCGAUUCUGUGGAGUUUGAGGAGCUUAACACCUUCAUGCUUUGCAUAUUCGUGCUCUUGGGUGUACUUGCCCGUGUGGUUGGUUAACAUCAAUUUUGGUGGUCAUAAAAUGACUGGAGGAAUGUAGCUUCAAUCUCGUAUUGAAGUGUUAUAGCCUUCGGUAGAUGUGGUGAUCGAGAUUGAGGAUUGCAACGGAUACCUUUCGGGGCUACCUGCCUGAUCUCUGAUCACUGCUUUGGUGCUGAAAGCGUGCUUAUAGUUAUCAAAGUCGAUGGUUAAUAGGUUAGAAUGGGUUAAA